UACGUAGGGUCCAAGCGUUAAUCGGAAUUACUGGGCGUAAAGGGUGCGCAGGUGGUUGAUUAAGUGUGAUGUGAAAGCCCCGGGCUCAACCUGGGAAUUGCAUUGCAAACUGGUCAACUAGAGUAUGGCAGAGGGGGGUGGAAUUCCGCGUGUAGCAGUGAAAUGCGUAGAGAUGCGGAGGAACACCGAUGGCGAAGGCAACCCCCUGGGCUAAUACUGACACUCAUGCACGAAAGCGUGGGGAGCAAACAGGAUUAGAUACCCUGGUAGUCCACGCCCUAAACGAUGUCUACUAGUUGUUGGGGAAUUCGUUCCUUAGUAACGCAGCUAACGCGUGAAGUAGACCGCCUGGGGAGUACGGCCGCAAGGCUA
rnacentral:rRNA from 1 species